UACGGGGGGAGCAAGCGUUGUUCGGAUUUACUGGGCGUAAGGGCGCGUAGGCGGCGCCACAAGUCACUUGUGAAAUCUCCGGGCUUAACCCGGAGCGGCCAAGUGAUACUGUCGUGCUAGAGUGCGGAAGGGGCUACUGGAAUUCUCGGUGUAGCGGUGAAAUGCGUAGAUAUCGGGAGGAACACCUGCGGCGAAGGCGGGUCUCUGGGCCGGUACCGACGCUGAGGAGCGAAAGCGUGGGGAGCAAACAGG
rnacentral:rRNA from 1 species